GAUGAACGCUAGCAGCAGGCCUAAUACAUGCAAGUCGUACGGGAUAAAUUGUAGCAAUACGAUUUUGAGAGUGGCGUACGGGUGCGUAACACGUAUGCAACCUACCUUUAACUGGGGCAUAGCCCGGAGAAAUUCGGAUUAAUACCCCCUAACAUAAUGAUAAGCCAUCUUAUUCUUAUCAAAGCAUUGCGGUUAAAGAUGGGCAUGCGGCUGAUUAGCUAGUUGGUGAGGUAAUGGCUCACCAAGGCUACGAUCAGUAGGGGGUCUGAGAGGAUGUCCCCCCACACUGGUACUGAGAUACGGACCAGACUCCUACGGGAGGCAGCAGUAGGGAAUAUUGGUCAAUGGACGAAAGUCUGAACCAGCCAUGCCGCGUGCAGGAUGACUGCCCUAUGGGUUGUAAACUGCUUUUAUCAGGGAAGAAAUCUCUUUACGUGUAAAGAGUUGACGGUACCUGAGGAAUAAGGAUCGGCUAACUUCGUGCCAGCCGCCGCGGUAACAC
rnacentral:rRNA from 1 species